UACGGAGGGGGCUAGCGUUGUUCGGAAUUACUGGGCGUAAAGCGUGCGCAGGCGGUUCGUUGUGUCGGCGGUGAAAGCCCCGGGCUCAACCUGGGAAUGGCCGUUGAAACUGGCGAACUGGAGUGUGGCAGAGGGGGGUGGAAUUCCGCGUGUAGCAGUGAAAUGCGUAGAGAUGCGGAGGAACACCGAUGGCGAAGGCAGUCCCCUGGGCUAACACUGACGCUCAGGCACGAAAGCGUGGGGAGCAAACAGG
rnacentral:rRNA from 1 species